CUACACGGCAACUGGCAUUAUUCUACAUCACUUGUGAUAGACCACCACGUGCUACAAGUUUAUUAUAAUAUUCAAUUACAUCGUACAAAUUAUCGUGUGUCAUUGAUUACAUUAAUUUGAUUACUACUCGCAAAUUCAUCAGUAUGGCACAGCAGAGUGAAAUCAAAGUUUCCGAAGUCCCGCAUCAAUCUGGUGAAAGAAAAUAUGUUUUUUACAUUCAAAUUGAGCAAGAUGCUGUUCGUAAAGUGGAAAAUCUGGAUUUUAUAACUUAUUUAAAUAUUAAACAUGACAAUAAUUAUGCUUUAUCGUUCAUUCUCAAUCUCCUCGAGACGGGGGAUUUUCUAGUGACAUCAGGCGAG